rnacentral:rRNA from 1 species
CACUAUGCCUAGCCCUAAACAUUGACAGUAAACUACACCUACUGUCCGCCUGGGAACUACGAGCACCAGCUUAAAACCCAAAGGACUUGGCGGUGCUUUAGACCCACCUAGAGGAGCCUGUCCUAGAACCGAUAAUCCCCGUUAAACCUCACCCUUCCUUGUUCUUUUCAGCCUAUAUACCACCGUCGUCAGCUUACCCUGUGAAGGCCCAAUAGUAAGCGAGAUCGGCACUGCCCCAAACGUCAGGUCGAGGUGUAGCCUAUGGAAGGGGAAGAGAUGGGCUACAUUCACUGGUACAGUGAAUACGAAUGAUCACCCUGAAAUGGGUAUCUGAAGGAGGAUUUAGCAGUAAGCAAAAAAUAGAGUGUUUUGCUGAAGUUGGCCCUGAAGCGUGCACACACCGCCCGUCACUCUCCCCAACCUAGCCCGGAUAUGUAAUUUAUACCUCACAAAAACCAAGGGGAGGCAAGUCGUAA